rnacentral:sRNA from 1 species
CAGGUCGAGGUUCAAAAGGUCCAGGACACUGUGGGGAACCAGAUGCUGAUCAUCGCUGCUGACAGCCAAAAGCACCAGGGCCGGGUGGCCUUUAUCUCACUCCAGAAACUGAUCCAGACAAUGCAAGGUGAGGUGAACACCCACUUCUCGGAGAUCAUCAGGAGGUCAAACAGCUGCAGAUGCAGAUCUUGGAUUUCGUGGAGAAAGAGGAAGCAGCCGCCCUGGGGAUGCUGAGUAGCUCCAUCCAGCAGAGCCACAACUGGCUCCUGAAGCUGGAGGGAGACAGCAUCUGGCUCCACACCCUGCUCAUCAACCAGAGUGACCAGCAAUUUCUGCAGAUCCAGGGGGAUUCCUUCGACUGAAGCAGUUCUCAGCCUGCAUGGAACCCCUGAUGGGCAUCAACUGUGAGGAAACGCAGAGCUUCCCCCAGCUGCCAGAGACCCUGGCUGAGCUCCGGAUGCGGCUGCUGGACAUGGGCCUCAGCUUCUUCAACCAGUACUGCAACCUGAACUUUGACCCCACCACAGCCGUCGACGAGCUGUUCCAAAGCUCUAGGAGACCAGCUCGGUGCUGAACCUGGGGAUCCUCCUGGAGCCCCUGACAGGGGGCGGCCACUUCCCGGGCUUCAAGCAGUGACCGCAGAUGCUGUGCUCCUGCGGCCUGUCCGAGGGCCACCACUAGGACGGGAGGUGGAGGCGUCCAACUCGUGGGUGUGCCUGGGCGUCACCUACCACCGCAGCUCCCCGCUCUGCGGCCGCCCGAGCUGUAGCGUGGUCUACCUGCUGGGCCGUAACCCCUACUCGUGGUGCCUGGAGUGGGACUCGCUCAAGUUCUCGGUGUGGCACCACAACGCGCAGACCGUGCUGCACGGCGCCUACCACCGCACGCUGGGCGUGGCGCUCGACUGCGGCGCCGGCGGCUUGUCCUUCUACGGCCUGGCGGGUGGCGCCAGCCUCUUCUACCGCUUCCUGGCAGCCUUCCUCGAGCCGCUCUACCCCGCGGUCAUGGUCAGCAGCGGCGCCUCGGCCACGCUCAAGCGGCGCCCGGAGCCCGCGCCGCCCGUGGCAGCACCCCAUAAAUAAACCUGGACUUAUCUAAGCGCUGGCUGGCGCGCCAGGAGGGUUCCCGGCCCUGCGCCAUCCCACCUCCCAAAACGCAGGCCACCCUUUCUCGCCACAGCCACAGGAGGGCUCUAAUCCAGCUAGAGCUCCCCCAGGCACGGAGGACAGUCCCGUGGCCUUGUGGGUGGGGGAUUCCUGACUGCAGUGCACAGCCCACUCCCAAACCCCAUCCCAGCAGCGUCCCCUGGCCUUGGUUCUCCAGGCUGGUCUUGGCCGCUUGGCGCUGGGGCCUGUCCCAAAGGCCUUGUCGUCUGAGAGUGGGCAAGGUUUGGGCCAGGUGGUCAGACUGAGAGGUGGCGCCAGAUGGAUUGGGGUACGGAUGGGCUGUCUGAGUGGCUUCAUUGUCGCCUGAGAGGUUAAACUGGAGGAGCCCAGGCCUACCUCAGAUCCAAAAAUGCUGGGCUGGGGACCCAAGCCCAGGCAGCGGUGGGGCUGCUGCCCAGAGCAGAGCUGCUCACUCAGCUGGUGUUUUACAGCCCAGAGGGGGUGUGACGCUGUCGUGGGUGGGUAAACCUUAAACCCCCUCCACCCUGCUGAAUGCUGCUGAAAGCUGCUCCCCCAUACCCAGCCAUCACCAACCCACUCAGCUCCCAGAAGGUAGCACUGCUCACAGCAGAGGGGCUACGUCCAUAUCCAGGCCUCUGCCAUCUGACCAGAGGCUGAAUCCAGGCCGAGACCCUGCCAGGGGACCCUGGCCAGGCCAUGACUGAGAACUCAGCUCCUCUGUCUGGGGAAGCCAAAGAUUUGGGUGCACCAUGGAGCCACCUCCACAUUUCCAGCCUCAACCAGCCACUUGUUCCUGUUGCCUCUCAAGCAAGGGUUCUCAGUGAGGUUAAUGAUUGGCUCUGAAGAGGAACUGAUACAAAUCACAGAAGAAAAAAAUCCCAAGGGCAACACAUUCCAGAACCAGCCCACACGGUGCCCCAGGGGUGUUCCUGAAUUCCGUCUCCACCUGGCCUGUUCCGGGAAAAAUUAGUGACCCGGUUUUUCCUUCAAGGUGGUCAUUUUGGAGCCAGGAGGGCACAGGGGGAGCAGAGUGUUCUCUGAAGGUUGGUGGGGGCGGGGGGGCUCCUCUGAGGAAGCCCUGGCUACAGCCUCGUGAUGGCCUUUCUCCCUGGAGCCUUCGCUCAGCUCUGAUCCCAAUGACUCAUUCCCCACAGGCUGCUGCCCCUGUGAAGUAAGGAAUGAGCUUGAAUUCUUUGCCCCUUAUUGAAAGACCUUUUACCCAAAACCCACAUCUUGCCUCCCCACCGCACAGUCUUCCUCCUGGCACCAGUGGCCACAGGCUUCUGCAAGGAGGGCUCAGGUCAGGAAAUGCUGAAAAGGUGAAUGCAUGACCCAAGUGGGUAACAGCAGCUGCAUACAUCUCAGAGUCUUCCCACAUCACGGGGCUGGCAAGGACGGGGUCUUCCUUGCCAAGUCCUCCCAGCUCUGAAAGACACUUGGUGGCAGGAUGGUGCGUGACACCCUCAGGCACACAUCCAAAUGUCCCGGGGAUGAUACUUGCUCUCAAACAGCUGUUCCUUAUUUGGGGGAGUCCUGGGCCCCCAUAGGUCCACAAUGGUGUUCCUGAGGGUCCUGAAACUCUUUUCAGUAUUUCCACGAGCCAGAUGGCAAGCAGGCCCGCGCUUUCAAGGAGGCAGGUUAGCAAACCGAAUGUCAGGGUGUCUGGUCUCUGCCUGGCCUGUUCCUGGAGAAAUUAGUGACCCAGGUUUCAGCCUGUGCUUCAUGGGAGAAAACAUCACAGGGGGGCC